rnacentral:rRNA from 1 species
AUUGAACGCUGGCGGCAUGCCUUACACAUGCAAGUCGAACGGUAUCAGGUCUUCGGAUGCUGACGAGUGGCGAACGGGUGAGUAAUGCAUCGGAACGUUCCCAGUAGUGGGGGAUAGCCCGGCGAAAGCCGGAUUAAUACAGCAUACGACCUGAGGGCGCAAGGGGGGGAGCGCAAGACCACUCGCGAUUGGACCGGCCGAUGUCAGAUGAGCCAGUUGGGGGGGUAAAGGCCUACCAAGGCAACGAGCCGAAGUUGGUCUGAAAGGACGCCCAGACACACUGGGAUGGGGACACGGCCCAAACUCCUACGGGAGGCAGAAGUGGGGAAUUUUGGACAAUGGGCGCAAGCCUGAUCCAGCAAUGCCGCGUGCAGGAAGAAGGCCUUCGGGUGGUAAACUGCUUUUGUCAGGGAAGAAAUCUUCUGGGUUAAUACCUCGGGAGGAUGACGGUACCUGAAGAAUAAGCACCGGCUAACUACGUGCCAGCAGCCGCCGUAAUAC